GACGAACGCUGGCGGCGUGCUUAACACAUGCAAGUCGAACGGAAAGGCCCUGCUUUUGUGGGGUGCUCGAGUGGCGAACGGGUGAGUAACACGUGAGUAACCUGCCCUUGACUUUGGGAUAACUUCAGGAAACCGGGGCUAAUACCGGAUAGGAGCUCCUGCUGCAUGGUGGGGGUUGGAAAGUUUCGGCGGUUGGGGAUGGACUCGCGGCUUAUCAGCUUGUUGGUGGGGUAGUGGCUUACCAAGGCUUUGACGGGUAGCCGGCCUGAGAGGGUGACCGGCCACAUUGGGACUGAGAUACGGCCCAGACUCCUACGGGAGGCAGCAGUGGGGAAUAUUGCACAAUGGGCGGAAGCCUGAUGCAGCAACGCCGCGUGCGGGAUGACGGCCUUCGGGUUGUAAACCGCUUUCGCCUGUGACGAAGCGUGAGUGACGGUAAUGGGUAAAGAAGCACCGGCUAACUACGUGCCAGCAGCCGCGGUGAUACGUAGGGUGCGAGCGUUGUCCGGAUUUAUUGGGCGUAAAGGGCUCGUAGGUGGUUGAUCGCGUCGGAAGUGUAAUCUUGGGGCUUAACCCUGAGCGUGCUUUCGAUACGGGUUGACUUGAGGAAGGUAGGGGAGAAUGGAAUUCCUGGUGGAGCGGUGGAAUGCGCAGAUAUCAGGAGGAACACCAGUGGCGAAGGCGGUUCUCUGGGCCUUUCCUGACGCUGAGGAGCGAAAGCGUGGGGAGCGAACAGGCUUAGAUACCCUGGUAGUCCACGCUGUAAACGGUGGGUACUAGGUGUGGGGUCCAUUCCACGGGUUCCGUGCCGUAGCUAACGCUUUAAGUACCCCGCCUGGGGAGUACGGCCGCAAGGCUAAAACUCAAAGGAAUUGACGGGGCCCCGCACAAGCGGCGGAGCAUGCGGAUUAAUUCGAUGCAACGCGUAGAACCUUACCUGGGUUUGACAUGGAUCGGGAGUGCUCAGAGAUGGGUGUGCCUCUUUUGGGGUCGGUUCACAGGUGGUGCAUGGCUGUCGUCAGCUCGUGUCGUGAGAUGUUGGGUUAAGUCCCGCAACGAGCGCAACCCUUGUUCACUGUUGCCAGCACGUUAUGGUGGGGACUCAGUGGAGACCGCCGGGGUCAACUCGGAGGAAGGUGGGGAUGACGUCAAGUCAUCAUGCCCCUUAUGUCCAGGGCUUCACGCAUGCUACAAUGGCUGGUACAGAGAGUGGCGAGCCUGUGAGGGUGAGCGAAUCUCGGAAAGUCGGUCUCAGUUCGGAUUGGGGUCUGCAACUCGACCUCAUGAAGUCGGAGUCGCUAGUAAUCGCAGAUCAGCAACGCUGCGGUGAAUACGUUCCCGGGGCU
rnacentral:rRNA from 1 species